GCUCCAUUGGCCUAAUGGUAAGGCGUCCGCCUCCUAGCAUUUAUCUCUCAUUCUGAUUUUGUUACGACGAGUUAAGCGGAAGACUGCGGGUUCGAGUCCCGUGUGGAGUG